GAUGAACGCUAGCGGCAGGCCUAAUACAUGCAAGUCGAGGGAGAAUGUUGGAUUCGUCUGACCUGAAACCGGCGCACGGGUGCGUAACACGUAUGCAACCUACCUUUAACUGGGGUAUAGCUCAGAGAAAUCUGAAUUAAUCCCCCAUAAGACUACGACAUGGCAUCAUGAUGUAGUUAAAGCUCCGGCGGUUAAGGAUGGGCAUGCGGUACAUUAGCUAGUUGGUGAGGUAAUGGCUCACCAAGGCUACGAUGUAUAGGGGGUCUGAGAGGAUGAUCCCCCACAAUGGGACUGAGGCACGGACCAGACUCCUACGGGAGGCAGCAGUAGGGAAUAUUGGUCAAUGGACGCAAGUCUGAACCAGCCAUGCCGCGUGAAGGAUGAAGGCCCUAUGGGUCGUAAACUUCUUUUAUUAGGGAAGAAAAAACGGGAUGCGUCCUGUACUGACGGUACUUAAUGAAUAAGGAUCGGCUAACUUCGUGCCAGCAGCCGCGGUAA
rnacentral:rRNA from 1 species